rnacentral:rRNA from 1 species
UACGUAGGGUGCGAGCGUUGUCCGGAAUUACUGGGCGUAAAGAGCUCGUAGGCGGUCUGUUGCGUCGGCUGUGAAAACCCGGGGCUCAACCCCGGGCCUGCAGCCGAUACGGGCUGGCUGGAGGCAGGCAGGGGAGAACGGAAUUCCUGGUGUAGCGGUGAAAUGCGCAGAUAUCAGGAGGAACACCGGUGGCGAAGGCGGUUCUCUGGGCAUUACCUGACGCUGAGGAGCGAAAGUGUGGGGAGCGAACAGG